rnacentral:rRNA from 1 species
UGGGGAAUAUUGCACAAUGGGGGAAACCCUGAUGCAGCGACGCCGCGUGAGUGAAGAAGUAUUUCGGUAUGUAAAGCUCUGUCAGCAGGGAAGAAAAUGACGGUACCUGACCAAGAAGCCCGGCUAACUACGUGCC